rnacentral:lncRNA from 1 species
CAUCCAGUAAAUAGCACAGUCCAAUAAGGUGUAUUAAUGCUGAGAAUGAACUAAGGCUGGUAAUGAAUGUUAAGGACACACACAAAAAGUGAUUUGUGUUGGGAAAAAAGAGGAAAAUGAAAGAAGAGAUAAAACCAUUUAAUCAAUAGGAUGAAGAUUAUAGACUCUACAAUGGCUACUCAGUUCUAAUUCUUUUUCUUUUUCAAGGAGUAUGAUUUGAGAUCGAAAAAGGACAAAAGUGUUCACUCACCAAGAAGUUAAAAGUUAAGAAACCUAAGAAGAUGGUAGAAUCAUCAAAGUCCAGUGACAAGACAAAUUCAAGAUGACUGCCAAUGACAUAAGAUGCUGUGGAUGACC